rnacentral:rRNA from 1 species
UACGUAGGGGGCAAGCGUUGUCCGGAAUCAUUGGGCGUAAAGAGCGUGUAGGCGGCCCGAUAAGUCCGCCGUGAAAGUCCAGGGCUCAACCCCUGGAAUGCCGGUGGAAACUGUCGGGCUGGAGUCCGGAAGAGGCGAGUGGAAUUCCUGGUGUAGCGGUGAAAUGCGCAGAUAUCAGGAGGAACACCAAUGGCGAAGGCAGCUCGCUGGGACGGUACUGACGCUGAGACGCGAAAGCGUGGGGAGCAAACAGG